rnacentral:lncRNA from 1 species
ACUUCAGUGAUCCUUCCUAAUAGAUUUGACAUUUGUAGUAGCUAUCCUACAACUGCCUCGAAGUUUGGGUAAUGUUUGAGUUGCAGUGUAAGAUUACUAAAUUUGAAAGGCGUGCUAGUCAAGCCAGGUAGCAGCACCCAAAAAGCCUCAGACGGGAGCUCACAGAUCAAAGUGGAGAUGCUAGCAGGUGAAUCCUUGAUGGAUCUCAUAGGUUCUUGGAAAGUAGCGGGACUGGAAAAAGUAUGAAUUCAGAGUGGCUGGGGGAUGCAGGGGAGGGAAAGAAGAGAGCAAGUGUUCAAUCUUUAGAGACUUUUCAAAUUAAUUUCAAUAAGAAACUACAGUCAGAUUUCAGAGUUUGUAUUCAAUUAUUGUAGUGAACUUUUCUUAUUUUGUGUGUGUGUGUGUGCUUCCUUUUUAAGGUAGUGCUCUAGACACGGCUGACGGCUGCACUCAUGUACUGUGAACAGGAGGGGUUUGGCUGUGGUUGCUUGCACAAGACCUGCACAAGACCACACCGAUCAAUGUUCAGCCA